GACGAACGCUGGCGGCGUGCUUAACACAUGCAAGUCGAACGGAAAGGCCCUGCUUUUGUGGGGUGCUCGAGUGGCGAACGGGUGAGUAACACGUGAGUAACCUGCCCUUGACUUUGGGAUAACUUCAGGAAACUGGGGCUAAUACCGGAUAGGAGCUCCUGCUGCAUGGUGGGGGUUGGAAAGUUUCGGCGGUUGGGGAUGGACUCGCGGCUUAUCAGCUUGUUGGUGGGGUAGUGGCUUACCAAGGCUUUGACGGGUAGCCGGCCUGAGAGGGUGACCGGCCACAUUGGGACUGAGAUACGGCCCAGACUCCUACGGGAGGCAGCAGUGGGGAAUAUUGCACAAUGGGCGGAAGCCUGAUGCGCAACGCCGCGUGCGGGAUGACGGCCUUCGGGUUGUAAACCGCUUUCGCCUGUGACGAAGCGUGAGUGACGGUAAUGGGUAAAGAAGCACCGGCUAACUACGUG
rnacentral:rRNA from 1 species